ACUUUCUGUUCGGAUUACCCCCAUACAUUACUGUAUACAGUUCUGUGGUCUCCAAAGGCGCAAUUUACGCAUUAAUGGACGAGCGUUCAAAGCAUCCGGACGUCAUUAUUUUAUUUUGAAGCUAAAGAUUGAAAUAAUAACAAAUUUGAGGAAUUUAAAAAAAAAAUUGAAAUUAUCUAGAGACGGACGGUCUAAAAUAUUACAUUACGGACCUGAUUGUCGACCGCCCUUGUUUGAUCCAUUCCAGAGGCCAUAGGCUACGACUACGAUAAAAAAGAAAUGUGGGGGAUUGGGAAUCGGAGUCGUACCAAGUUACUUCAAUGAACGGCCGGUUUGCCCUCGCAUUUUGAGUACGCAACAGCUGCAAGAUUUCUUAGUCAUCCACUGUUUCUCAUUUAAUCAAUAACAAUAGUGCGACUUGCAUCAUUUAGUGAGAUUAUUGGCGUUGAGUGUGUUGUUAUAAUUGCGAGCAAGGAAUUUAGAAUGUCUCAAAUUACAGUAGGAUAUACAGAUAAGGCCAGAAAAAUCCAACCAAAAGGACGAGCUGGCGGAAUGUCCGACUUAUUUCCUUUCAAUGAAACACCAUCUAGAAAUAUCAAAGAAACCGAAAAGCUUCAGAAUGAAAAUAAUUAUCACUCAGAAAAUAAAAUAUGCGAAAGGACAGAAAUACUUUCAAUUGAAGAAAACAGUAACGAAGUUGAAAAAUCUAUUAAAUCGACGACAACAGUAGAAGUCAAACAAACAACAACAAAUGAGGAAACUUCAAACGGAAAUGUGAAACAAAAUGGUGACGCGAUCGAUUCAAUCAAACCAACACCCAAGAAGGCUGUGAAUAAUAUCAUUCACUCAGAUGCGGAUUCAGGUUUUACUCAAAAAAGAAACCGUGUACCACCAGGCGGUUAUUCCUCCGGACUGUGGUGAAUGUGUUUUGUGUUAAUUUAAUAAAUAAUUGAAUUCAAUGCAUUCCCUAUGAUAUUAAUUCGCGGACAUAAAAUUUUACUAUAAGAAUUGAAUUUUGUAAUGUAAAUUUUAAUAAAAUACAAAUACGUGCACAGCA